rnacentral:rRNA from 1 species
GACGAACGCUGGCGGCGUGCUUAACACAUGCAAGUCGAACGGAAAGGCCCUGCUUUUGUGGGGUGCUCGAGUGGCGAACGGGUGAGUAACACGUGAGUAACCUGCCCUUGACUUUGGGAUAACUUCAGGAAACUGGGGCUAAUACCGGAUAGGAGCUCCUGCUGCAUGGUGGGGGUUGGAAAGUUUCGGCGGUUGGGGAUGGACUCGCGGCUUAUCAGCUUGUUGGUGGGGUAGUGGCUUACCCAGGCUUUGACGGGUAGCCGGCCUGAGAGGGUGAACGGCCACAUUGGGACUGAGAGACGGCGCAGACUCCUACGGGAGGCAGCAGUCGGGAGUAUGGCACAAUGGGCGGAAGCCUGAUGCAGCAGCGCCGCGUGCGGGAUGACGGCCUUCGGGUUGUAAACCGCUUUCGCCUGUGACGAAGCGUGAGUGACGGUAAUGGGUAAAGAAGCACCGGCUAACUACGUG